AGUCGUAACAAGGUCUCCGUAGGUGAACCUGCGGAGGGAUCAUUACACAAAUAUGAAGGCGGGCUGGAACCUCUCGGGGUUACAGCCUUGCUGAAUUAUUCACCCUUGUCUUUUGCGUACUUCUUGUUUCCUUGGUGGGUUCGCCCACCACUAGGACAAACAUAAACCUUUUGUAAUUGCAAUCAGCGUCAGUAACAAAUUAAUAAUUACAACUUUCAACAACGGAUCUCUUGGUUCUGGCAUCGAUGAAGAACGCAGCGAAAUGCGAUAAGUAGUGUGAAUUGCAGAAUUCAGUGAAUCAUCGAAUCUUUGAACACACAUUGCGCCCUUUGGUAUUCCAAAGGGCAUGCCUGUUCGAGCGUCAUUUGUACCCUCAAGCUUUGCUUGGUGUUGGGCGUCUUGUCUCUAGCUUUGCUGGAGACUCGCCUUAAAGUAAUUGGCAGCCGGCCUACUGGUUUCGGAGCGCAGCACAAGUCGCACUCUCUAUCAGCAAAGGUCUAGCAUCCAUUAAGCCUUUUUUUUCAACUUUUGACCUCGGAUCAGGUAGGGAUACCCGCUGAACUUAAGCAUAUCAAUAAAAAGUCG
rnacentral:rRNA from 1 species